UGGUUGGUCUUCCCUGGAGCAGGAAGCACAUACUUUGCUCAUUUCUCUUCCCUUUCACACUGGGCUGUUUGUGAGAUUAUUUUUGUGUGUGUGAGUGUGUGGCUGAAAAAAAACAUAUCAUUUCUUGGAUCGACUCCAGGGCCAGAGAUUUUGUUCCCAAACGGACUGGUUCAGAGGCACAUUUUAAAGCAGAAUGUCACAAGGCGGCUAUCCAGCACCCGGCUAUCCUGGGUAUCCUCCCCCGGGUGGAGAUGCAGGCUACCCUCCCGCGGGCCAGUACCCAUAUCCUGGGGGGCCGGGGGGGUACCCAGGG